rnacentral:lncRNA from 1 species
GCGAAUUCAAGUGCAACGCUCUGAUAAAUUGCAAAUGUUAGCUCGCAAGAGGCGUUCCUGCUAUCGUCUGCUAAAGUCGAAUUCAAGUGCAACGCUUUACCGCUCUGGUAACUGAUGACGUCAAAAUUGCAAUGGGGAGCUGGUUUGCUCUCGUGCCAGGAGAGCUUGUCCGAUAAACUACAUCAAUAUCCAAUGAGACUGCGUGUCGAUGUAAACAAAAAACAUCAGUUCCCAUAAUUUCUCUGAGCUUAUGGUCAAGUGUUUACUGCGUUGUAGUGUGGUGUAACGAAUUGUUCCAGUCCUGAAAACGAAAGAAAUAUACAGACAUGUAUAUUUCUUUUAAUGUGUACAACAUGUAUUUAAUGUGUACAACUUUAUCCUAUAGAAAAUUCCCUCCAAAGUAAUCUAGAGCAACAGAGUGCAGCACAAUACCACAAGUUUUCCAGCCAAAUGCGAAAAUUCCACACCUUUAUCACGAGGAAAUCUGCAAUGGCAUUUAGGAAUGACAAAUAGAAGCUCAACUAUUCGAAGCAGGAGACCGAAGAGAAAAAAGGAAGAGAGAUGAUAUUACAGCUGCAGAAAAGGAAAUAAUUAAAACGCAGAAGAAUAUAUUAAUGUACUGUGUGAAAUAUGUGACUUGUAUAAGCAAUCAGUUGCAAAUCAGUCUGCUGUCAUAGAAAAUCAAAAUAUAAUUAUUAAUUUAUUAAAAAAAUAAAUCAUGCAUUUCAAAUAUUA